rnacentral:rRNA from 1 species
AGAACGCUAGCGACAGGCCUAACACAUGCAAGUCGAGGGGCAGCACAUGAGUAGCAAUACGAUGGUGGCGACCGGCGCACGGGUGAGUAACACGUAUGCAACCUGCCUGUAAGAGGGGAAUAACCCGGAGAAAUUCGGACUAAUACCGCAUAAUACCGAGAGACUGCAUGGUUUUUCGGUUAAACAUUUAUGGCUUACAGAUGGGCAUGCGUAUGAUUAGCUAGUUGGUGAGGUAACGGCUCACCAAGGCAACGAUCAUUAGGGGUUCUGACAGGAAGGUCCCCCACCCUGGUACUGACACNCGGACCAGACUCAUACGGAAGGCAGCAGUGAGGAA